ACAAAAGAGUAGAAUGGAGGCGAACCUCUCAGAUUACAGUUUAUCUUUCCUCCCACUCAGCUGGGACUUGAGCUAUGGCCAAACGUUAACUUCUACUAAUAAGGAAGCUCACUUUGCCGCCACGCUAAUUGGGAGAACUGAAAACACCACGUCACAGGGUCUGGAGCUGUCAAUGAUCCCCGCCGCCUUCGGCUGACCAGCAGCAGGCGUACUAUCUAGAGGACUCUAGGAGCGACCACAGAGCAGGACAAGAACGCGUUCUCCUUAGUGCCGCCUGACUCCGGAGAGGAAAAGAGGGACCCCUUUCUCGCCUGGCCACAAGCAAGGGCCCCUGUGGGCCCAGGCCCGAAAAGUGCACCUUCCCUGGGAUCCACAGCUGCCGCCUGCCGGUUCUACCGGGAGAAGAGGCCGCCACUCACCUGCGAAUGGAGAGAUCGCAAUUCCUCACCUGGCGUCCGCCCUACACCCUUCUAGUUCGAACUGCAAAGCGCGAUGGCUGCCGAGGU